UGUGGACUCGUAGGUGUGUUGGUAAAUUUCUUUCACUGUAAUUAUGAUAAGUCCUUAGUGGGUACUCUUGUUGGUUAAUUCUUAACAACUCUGUUGAUACAUAUAUAUUGAGUUAUUGUAUAAUUAUUAUAUUUACUACAUCAUUCGUGUUGUGGCAUGUUUGUAUUUUCUAACACUUGUUCCACAGGUAUUUAAAGUGGCGGGUCGAGGAUCUUACUGGGUUAUAUUUAUAUAUAACUCACUCCUUACUUGCAUCUCUAUGCAGAUACCGGUGCGGAAGAUAGAGCUAGUGGCUGACGAGUUGUUCGAGUGGAUCCUAUUGCUGAGGUGAGCCACCGCAUUGUUCGUGGAGGCUUUCGUUUCAUACUUACCUAGCUCGUGUUAGUUAUUUCCUUUUUCUUUGGGGCUUGUAUACCCGUCAAUAAAACUCAUGUUACUCUGUUAGAUGCUCCAUGAUCUUAGUGUGGGAUUUGGGUUAGAGAUUUAGUAUUUGAGUACUCAUUAGAUUUUAUUAAUAAAUUAUAAUUUUAGUUGGAUAAUUAUUUCGCAUUUAGUAAUUUUUAAUGCA
rnacentral:lncRNA from 1 species